rnacentral:lncRNA from 10 species
GCCUGAAGAGCUUCCUUUAGGAUUUCUUGUGAGACAAGUCAGCUUUUAUUUGUCUGGAAAAGUCUUUAUCUCACUUUUAUUUGUGAAGAACUGCUUUGGCAGCCGUACCCUCAAGAAGUGCACCUUCCAACCACCCUUAUAUGAGCCUGCUCCAAAACCUUGCCAGCCAGCACUUCCAGGUUACGACUAUUGACCUCCAGCUCCCAGUUUCAGAGAGUUCUCCCAGUCUCCUGGAUCACACUGGUCUGAAAGCUGUUUGGUAGACAACCUUCGAGUCUUUCUGCCUUCAUACUGUGGGUAUACCGUUCUCCCAACUGAAAACCCGUUUAUUUUCUUAUCUGUCUACUCAAAGCCUAACCAACACCAAAUGGCCUAGAAAUGCCACGUACCUACCAGUUGCCUCUUUCCUCCUCCAGCCCUUGUGAAUGUGAAUUCACAUCUCUGUUCUCUGUGUUCCUUGGCCACUUAGUACCAUUCACAAUAUCUCUCAUAGCUAGCUCUCUGCCUUAGGGCUGGCCCAUGGGACUAAAAUUCCUUGUGGUAGGUAUUUUUUUUUCAUAUUUCUAUUCUUAUAGCAUCUAGCAUAGAACAAACAGCCUAGUAUCUAGUGGGUAUCCAAUAACAACUUAUGCAGGUGAUUAGGCAAGAAAAAGAAAUAAAGCCUAUUCAAAUUGGAAAGGUGGAAGUCAAAUUGUCCCUAUUUGCUGGCAACAUAAUCUUAUAUAUAGAAGAACUUAAACACUCUGCCAAAAAUCCAUUAGAUGUGAUAAACAAUUCAGUAAGGUUGUAUUGUAUGUAUCAAAACAUCCCUAUGUAACCCAUAGAGAUGUAUAAUUAUUUUAUGUUGAUCAAAAAUAAAAUAAUAAAAGCUCUUAAUAAAACAGUCAUCUC